rnacentral:tRNA from 1 species
AUGGCUCAGUGGAAAGAGCCCGGGCUUAGGAUUCGGAGGUCGUGGGUUCGAAUCCCGGCU